rnacentral:rRNA from 1 species
UACGGAGGGGGCUAGCGUUGUUCGGAAUCACUGGGCGUAAAGCGCGCGUAGGCGGACCAUUAAGUCGGGGGUGAAAUCCCGGGGCUCAACCCCGGAACGGCCUUCGAUACUGGCGGUCUCGAGGUCGAGAGAGGCGAGUGGAAUUCCGAGUGUAGAGGUGAAAUUCGUAGAUAUUCGGAGGAACACCAGUGGCGAAGGCGGCUCGCUGGCUCGAUUUUGACGCUGAGGCGCGAAAGCGUCGGGAGCAAACAGG